rnacentral:rRNA from 1 species
AAACUUUCAACAACGGAUCUCUUGGUUCCGGCAUCGAUGAAGAACGCAGCCGAAAUGCGAUACGUAAUGUGAAUUGCAGAAUUCAGUGAAUCAUCGAGUCUUUGAACGCACAUUGCGCCCUCUGGUAUUCCGGGGGGCAUGCCUGUCCGAGCGUCAUU